rnacentral:rRNA from 1 species
UACAGAGGGGGCAAGCGUUAUUCGGAAUUAUUGGGCGUAAAGGGUGCGUAGGCGGCGCUGCAAGUGCCUUGUGAAAACCCAUCGCUUAACGAUGGAACUGCUCGGUAGACUGCAGUGCUUGAGGUUGGUAGGGGCUGCCGGAACUCUAGGUGGAGCGGUGAAAUGCGUAGAUAUCUAGAGGAACGCCCAAGGCGAAGGCAGGCAGCUGGGCCAAUUCUGACGCUGAGGCACGAAAGCGUGGGGAGCAAACGGG